AACUGAAAACUGUAUUUUUUGAGCCAAACCAUCCAGUCCAUGGGAAGAAACACGAUAGAAUUAAUAUUUAAAAAAAAAAAGACAACUCAAGACAAUUAUGUCUGACUCAAUUUUUUAAUAAUUUUCGUUUCAAUGUUGACUGACAUGGAGAUGGUCAACUCAGAUAAAUCAAUCACAACUAAUCAAAAGAGAAAUGAGCCGAUGAACGAUAAGCAUGAUCACUUCAAGCAUGCAUUAGAGGUCCAGAAAGUAGUUCACCAUCACAAGCCUGAUUGAAUGCAGUUCUUUAUUUCAAGCCUGAUUAAGCAUCUUCUGAUGUCAAAAGACCAAGUAUAAUUUUUUCACCUGGUAGAAAUUUGAGCUUAUUGCUCCUGUUAUGGAUUUUAAACUUCCACUUCUCCCAUUAUACUUGUACGCAAUUCACUUUUGCAAAUUGAACGUGCAUAAACUUGAAGCUAAUUGUGACCUGCAGUAGACACAAAUGGUUAGAUAAAAAAAACCAAAGAAUAUCUAAUGAAAAUAUUUUAUAUAAUAAUUACAUGCACCUUCCAAGUAGUUGGUUUUUGUUGUCAUGGGAAGAAACAUGGCAGCUAAAUCUAAUCAUCUACCGACAAUAACCAAUGGAGCUGUGACAAUCUGGGCCUCAAGCGCCAUAGAUCCAUAAUUAAGAAAUAUGAUGAAAUCAGGUUUCCUUCGGUAACAUUUCAUCCACCAAAGAGUUCAGCCUUUGCGACUUCACCAAGGCAACAAUAGUCACAGACUAAAGCAUAUGCAGGAAUCAGGUAACAAGCUUGUUUUCAGACAUCUCGGACACAAGUUUAUGAUCAUCCUAAACAAAAUUAUGUUCUUUUGUGAUUUUGUCCUUAGAUUAAACACUUCAAUUAUGUUUCUAAUUUGUCUUUCCUUCUUAUCAUGAUUCAGCCAACGUCGAUGAUGAGUUCCUUUCAGAUUGCCAUCUCUAACAAUGGAUACAAUCACAAUAGAAGUAAGUAAUUACUCUUUCUAUAAUUUGUUGGUAAGCUUCAUGCAAGUGAUUGACCUUCCAAUACCCAUUUGUUAAUUUAGUAUAUUUUAUAGCAUCCGGUGGAAGUCCUCGUUUAAGCAUGUCCUCUAACCAAAUCCAGCAUUUAUCAUAAUAUCUUCAAACCAAAACUAAGUCUCAAUCUUCUCUGUUUGAUACCUUGUCUGGGGUGACAUGCCUACUUAACAUCAACAUGGAGGCUCUCAUCACAUCUCCCUCAUUAAAGUGAGUUAAAGAGUCCAGAGCAAGCACACCGAGCCACUCAAUGCCCUUGCCUAGAUAACCAGAUAAAAAGGUGCUUAACUCUCAACAAAAUGUUUUAAGUUCUAGGGAACCAGAGGCAGAAACCACUGUACUAAAGACUGGUGUUCUGAUCAACUCUCCUUUCUACCAAGGACUUCAACAUUAAUUGUGUGUCUUCUAACUUCCCUUCUCUGCAAAAACUGUCAUUUAAAGAAAGAUAAUCUAACAAAGCUGUGUGUGCUGAUUAAACUAUUUAGUCCGUAUAGUCUUACGCCUUCACAAACACUUUCUACAAAACCCUGUAGCGAGUACAUCGUGCAUCAUAGGAUCAAGAUCCACAUUAAAUUCGGCAUAUGUUAGUGGACACCUUCUCAGCAUAGCUAUGUCCUGGAUUGGAUGAGGAGGUAAUCUCUGGGAUUCCAUGUCAUGGAGCCAUAUCACUGCUUCACAUAUAGUUCCCAGCUUGGAACGAAUAGCUAAUCUGAGACCGUAUGGAAUCCUGUCAAGGUAAAUUCCUGACUCUUUAGGUAUACUGACGUGUUCUAAUGCUUUAGAAGGCAUGCCCAUCUUACAACACGAUGGAGCAAGAGUCACAGGACCUAUUUCUAUACCUUGGGAAACCAUCUCAUCGUGAAGUUCUAAUGAAUGUUAGAAAUUUUGAUACCAAAAUAUGUUUUUAAACCAUUAUAAUAGAAAUACAAGAAAAAAUUAAUGCGAAAACGAAAUUAUGUACCUCUAGCUUUUGUUGUCAAGAAUUUCAGUAAUGAUUUCUUCUUUAAUUUUGGCAUAUCUCGGCUUAGAACUCUCGCUUUAGAUGAUAUAGGAAAUCCUUUAGACUUGAAAGAAAUGUUAAGCCCAGGGACCAAACUCUCGUUUAUAUAGAUGUUCUCCCAUCAACAACAUUUAUUAUCACCAAUUCAUAACGUUCAAGAAUUAAUUCAAAUUUGUAAUGUUUGAAUCGUAACGAAGAAUUUUAAUGAUAUUAAAUAAAAUAUUUAAUAAUAAUGAUUCAUUUAGAAUGAAAAAUUAAAAUAUUUAAACCAUAAUAAAUAAAAAAGUUGAUUAUAAUGAAUGAUGAAUUUAAUGAGAACGGUUACAUUAUUAUUAAAUAAAUUAUUUAAUAAUAAUGAUUAUAUUCUCUCACUUAGUCCACACGUUUAGUUUAAUAAUUUAAAUUAAUCUUUAUCAAACAACUUUAUUAAGAAACAAAUACAUGAAUCAUAGCGAUAAGUCCUCUAAGAGCGAGUAUUAUCGUCCAUGUAUCACUAUAUAUUUAGUUUCUUAAUCUUAAUAUGGUAAUAUUACUUAAUGAAUAAAUCUUAUAUUUAUUCUUAUUCCAAUAUCAAUAUAUUUUCUCAAAUUAAUGUGCACAUGAAUAAGAAAAUAUCACAAUAUAUAUAUGAGUUUCAAUAUCAUUAUAAAGUGGAACCAAGUCCUAUUUUCUCUACAUGAUCCUUGAAUUUCAGAGGUGGCAUGUCUUUAGUCAAAAAGAUCAGCAAUCAUCAAUUCAAUGCUAAUAUGCUUAAUGACCAUUUUCUUUUCUUUUACAUGUUCUCUUAUGGCUAAAUACUUAAUGUCGAUGUGUUUACUUCGACUUCCACUUUUAUUGUUUUUAGCCAUAAAGACAACAGUUGAAUUAUCAUAGAAAAUUCUUAAUGACCUAGAAAUAAAAUUCAAGAUUCUAAGCCUAGAAAUGAAACUCUUAAGCCAUACACCAUUUGAAGUAGCCUCAAAACAUGAGACAAACUUAGCUUCCAUGGUAGAAGUAGCAGUCAAGGUCUGCUUGGUGCUUCUCCAAGAAAUAGCUCCACCAGCCAUCAUAAAAAUAUAUCUUAAUAUUGAUUUACGAGAAUCAACACAACUGGCGAAGUCUGAAUCUAAGUAACCAAUCACAUCUAGAUUGUCUGUAUGUCUAUACAUAAGUAUAUAAUCUUUGGUUCUUUGUAGAUAUAUCAUCACUUUCUUUACAGAUCUCCAGUGGUCUAUACUUGGAUUUCUUUGAUAUCGACCUAGUAUCCCCACAACAAAUGCAAUAUCAGAUCUAGUACAGACCUGAGCAUACAUAAGGCUUCCUACGGCAGAAGCAUACGGGAUAUUUUUUAUUUAUUCCCUUUUAAGGUUGUUCUUUGGGCAUUGGUUCAAAUUAAGCAUAUCACCUUUCACAAUGGGAGCAACACUUGGUGAAUAAUCCUUCAUCGGAAAUCUUUUUAAAAGUUUAUUGAUAUAGGUUUUUUGUGUUAGACCUAAAAUGCCACAAGGUCUAUCUCUAUAGAUCUUAAUACUAAUAACAUAAGAUAUUUCACUCAUAUCUUUUAUCAAAAUUUUUAGAAAGAAAUUGUUUCACCUCAUGCAACAAACCCUUAUUGUUGGUUGCAAGCAAAAUAUCAUCUACGUAUAAAACAAUGAAACAUAUUUUACUCUCACUAAUCUUUUGGUAUAUGCAUUGAUUCAUGGGAUUUUCAACAAAUUCUAAUGAAGAAAUCACUUCAUAUAAUUUAAAAUACCAUUGGUGGGAGGCUUGUUUUAAAUCGUAUAUAGAUUCUUAAGCUUACAAACCAAGUGUUCACUGACACUACAGGAGAAACCUUUGGGUUGUUUCAUAUAAACCUCUUCCUCUGAAUCUCCAUUAAGAAAUAUUGUUUUGACAUUCAUUUAUUGCAACUCAAGGUCAAAAUGAGCGACCAAUGCUAAAAUGAUACGAAGAGAAUCUUUCUUAGAUAUAGGAGAAAACGUCUCCGUAUAAUCGAUUCCCUCUUUUUGAGUAAAUCUCUUUGCAACAAGUCUUGUCUUAUAUCUCUCAAUGUUGCCGAACGAAUCUUACUUGGUUUUAAAGACUCAUUUGCAACCAAUAGCCUUUGCUUCAUUAGGCAACUCUACAAGAUCUCAGACUUCAUUGCUCAUCAUGGAAUUCAUCUCUUCUUUCAUGACAUCAUGCCACAAAUUUGAUUCGUUGCAACUCAUGGCUUGUGAAAAGGUUUCAGGAUCAUUUUUACCUCCAAUAUUAUAGUCAGAUUCUUGUAGAUAUAUAACAUAAUCAUUAGGAAUUGUUGGUCUUUUAUUUCUAGUAUAUCUUCUUAAUGUUGUACCAAUGUUUCCCUGAGGAAUUUGUGGUUCAUCUAGUUGUUCAGGAGUUUGUUGUAAUUCCUAAACUGCUUGAUCUAUUAGAAUACUGUUAGUAACUUGUGGAAUUUUAAUGAUUGGUUGUUCAACACCAGUUUGUACUUGAGGAGUGCUAUGAACUAUAACCAAUUUAUUAUUUAAUGUGGAAAGUUAAAAUUCUAUAUGAUCAUGUGCAAAAACUAUGUUUAUGAAAUGAUCACUCCCAUUAAUCAUGUCAUCCUUAAUAAAUUUAGCAUUUCUUGAUUUCACAAUCCUAGUUGUGUAAGAUAGACAAUAGAAUAUAUAACCUUUAGACUUUUCGGUAUAUACAAUGAAAUACUCACUAAUAGUCCUCAGGUCCAGUUUCUUCUCUUGUGGAUUAUAUAUCCUGACCUCAGACGGACAUCCCCAAAUGCGCAUUUGUCACAAACUCGGUUUUCCAACCUUUCCAUAAUUCAAAUGGUAUUUUUUGUACAGUCUUGGUUGGAACUCGGUUUAAUAUAUACACAGCCGUCUUUAGUGCUUCAGUCCACAAGAACUUAAGAAGAUUGGAGUUGUUAAGCAUACUCCGUACCAUAUCUAAUAAUGUUUGGUUUCUUCUUUUUGCAACACCAUUCUAGUCUGGAGAACCAGACAUAGUAUAUUGGGUAACAAUCUCAUGUUCUUGAAGAAACUUAGCAAAAUGACUAGGUAUUUAUCCAUUUUUAGUAUAUCUACUAUAAUAUUCUCCACCUCCAUCUGAUCUUACAAUUUUAAUUUACUUACCACAUUAGUUCUCAACUUCAGCCUUAAAGACUUUAAAGGCAUCCAAUACUUCAUUUUUAUUAUGAAACAAAUAGAUAUUAUAUAUAUAUAUAUAUAUAUAUAUAUAUAUAUAUAUAUAUAUAUAUAUAUAUAUAUAUAUAUAUAUCGUGAGUAAUCAUCUAUAAGGAAGAUGAAGUAUUUCUGACCAUGUGUGUCCAUGUCUGGACAACAUAUAUCAGUAUAAAUGAUCUCUAAUAUGUCUGAACUCCUAUUAGCACCUUUUUUGGAUUUAUUGGUCUGCUUUCCCUUAAUACAGUCCACACAAGUCUUAAAAUUAAUAAAAUCAAGAGUACUAAGUAUCCCAUCAUUAAUUAAUCUUUUAAUUCUCUCUGUGAAGAUAUGUCAUAAUCUCUGAUAUCAUAACAUAGAAGAGUCCUCGUUAAUAUUAUACCUUUCAGUGCCAUCGUGAACAUGCAUUAAACUUUGAGUGUCAUCAUUUUGAAAGAAAAUACGAUAAAGACCAUCAGACAAAAUACCUUUUCCAACACAAUCAUAUUUAUAUAAUAAGUGAAACGAUUUAUCUUGAAAAUUAAAGGAAUAUCCAACUAGUAUGAGUUUGGAAAUAGAAAUUAAGUUUCUUGAGAAACUUGGUACAUAAAAGGUUCUUUCCAAUUUUAAAACAAAACCACUACUUAAAGUUAAAAUGCAUGCUCCAAUUGCCUCCAUAUGUGAGCCCAUAUUAUUACCUAAUAAGAUGCUUUGCUUACUUCCCACUAGCUUCCUUUGGUUUUGCAUACCCUGCAAAGAAUUUACAAUAUGAAUUGUUGAUCCGGAGUCAAUCCACCAGGUGUUAAUAUUAAUAUUAACCAUAUUAGAUUCAUAACAUACAAAUGAGGUUUGUUUACCUUUCUUUUUAAGUCAUUGUUGAAAUUUUGUACAUUCCUUCUUCACGUAUCCUUUUCUUUUACAAAAGAAACACUUUGCUUCUUUCUUGAUAUCAGCUUGGGGUGGUAUUUUACCUUUUCCCUACUGAUGAGUUUUUUAAUUGGUUUGAUUUUUAUCAGUUUUAUUCUUCCCGCGAGUGGUUACUCCCAAUGCACUCUCACCUAGUUCCAUCACUAGCCUCUGUUCUUCUUGAAUAUACAUGUUCAUUAAUUCAUUGAUUGAUCAUUUAUCAUGUGUAUUGUAUGAAAUCUUAAAAGACCCGUAUUGAGAUGGAAGAGUGUUUAGAAUAUAGUAUAUCUGGAAGGAUUCUAACAUAUUAAUCUCGUGUUUCUUAAGUUGAGCCGCAAUAUCUCGCAUUUGCAUUAUAUGCUCACGCACACCCUUUAUGUUAGUGAGUCUAAGGGAUGGGAAUUUUAUUAUUAGGGUACUUGCUAGUGCCUUUUUCGAAGAAACGAAUUGUUCAUCGAUAGCUUGAAGCAAGUCUCGGACCUUCUCAUGCUGGUCAACAUAACCACGUAUGCCAGUAGUUAUCUUAAUUUUGAUAAACAUUAUGCUGAGCCGAUUGGAUCGCUCACAUCGCUCAUAUAAUGUGACCUCAAUUGGAGUGCUGGUAUUAGUGACUAUAGGCGGUUUACCUUUCCUAAUAGCAUAAUUAAUAUUCAUCCAUCCUAAAUGGAGGAGAAUCCUCUCCUUCCAUAUUUUAUAGUUAUCACCACUAAGUUCGGGAAUGUCACAUCAAAUAUAAAAAAAAUUAAUAAUUUAAGAAACUACAUAAAAUCAAACAUGUUUAUGUCAAAACUUAAGGUUUAAUAGUUUAAAUUACAUGUUUUACUGAAACAUGCCAAAAGAUGAAUCUUAUGAUAUAAAAAUUAUUUGUGGACUAAAUUCUUAAUUCAAAUAGAUUUAAAUGGUCUUUAUGAUAAAACUAUCAAAUUAUAUUUCAAUUCAUAUUCCCUAUGGGUAAAUUAUGAAAAUAAUAUGAUAUUUUAUCUUGAUUAAUUAUAUUAAAUAUAAUAAAAGAUCUUACAGGAUAAUAAUUAUUAUAUUGAAUAUAAUCAGUCACAAUAUGAUGUCUAAUUACUUAUGUGAUCCUUAUUUUAAUUUUAUAUAUAAUUUUAAUUGAUUAAGAAUAUUAUGACUAAUUCCUAAUUAAUUAAGAUUAUAUCGAUCGAUCACUAGACAUUUUGGACAUAUAAAAUUGACUCAUAAGCAUAAAUUAAUAUAACCAAAUAUGCAUAAAUAAUAUGAGCAUUUUACCGACUCCAAAUAUUGAAAUGUUAUAUGUUCAUGAUUUUCAACAUAAAAUAUACAAGAAGUUUCAAAAAAGAAACCAAAAUCAAAUCAUAUUCAUGGUAUAAAAACGAAAACUAUUUCAUAUCAAGGCAGAGGUCAAUUGGCUCUGAUACCUGUUAGAAAUUUUGAUACCAAAAUGUGUUUCUAAACCACUAUAAUAGAAACACAAGAAAAUACUAUUGCGGAAACGAAGUUGCGUACCUCCAACCAUUGUUGUCAAGAAUUUCAGCAAUGAUUUCUUCUUAAAUUGUGAUACUUCUCGACUCAAAACUCUUACUUUAUAGCGUAAGAAAUUCUUUAGACUUGAAAGAGAUGUUAAGCCCAAUGACCAAAACUCUCAUUUAUAUAGAUGUUCUUCCAUCAAAAACAUUUAUUAUCAUAAAUUCUUAACAUUCAAGAAUUAAUUCAAAUUUAUAAUAUUUGGAUCAUAAUAAAAUUUUUUAAUGAUAUUAAAUAAAUUAUUUAAUAAUAAUGAUUCAUUUAGAAUGAAAAAUCGAAAUAUUUAAACCAUAAUAUAUGAAAAAAUUGAUUAUAAUAAAUGAUAAACUUAAUAAAAACGAUUAUAUUAUUAUUAAAUAAAAUAUUUAAUAAUAAGACAUUGUCACAUGUGCAGUGGCUUGGAUGAGACACCAAUAACUGAAUGCAUCAGCAAGAGAACGAAUACUGGAAUCUAAAAAGUUUCGAACGACCAGACUUGCCUGACAUGCGAACCAUAUCGGAGUGAGUACAGGGAGUCCGGUGGAAGCGGAGGUAGCCGAAUCACCCAGAGCCACAUUUGGCUUCCGGAAGUCGCAAGAGGGAACACAGAUCGAGGUUUCUCGUUCUCCUAUGCGGUAUGUUGGAUGUCGGUUUCCAUGGCGGCAGCUUGCGGAAGGAGCGGAAGGCGGCUGCGGCAGCGGCGAUCAUUGAGAUUUGCAGAUCAUGACUAUGGGCAUCUUCGGAGGUGAGAAGACGAGAGAGGGGAGAGAGGGGAGAGAGGGUUUCGGCGUGCGCCAAUGCAGUUCGUCUUGUAACGGCCGCGUGCGGGCCGGUGUAUGAAAAAUAGCAUACCCUG
rnacentral:lncRNA from 1 species